AACCUUGCUGCAGUUAUGUUCCGUAUUUUAGUUUUAUUGUGAAAAAGUCAGAAAAUUGUCAGAAGUAGCUGUUUUGAGGGGAUAACAUUGCUGUGCAGCCCAAGAAAACAAAGUUUGGCAUGAAAAAUGGGCUUUUUCUACUGUUUUGCAAUAAAUGUAGUUGGAAAAAGACACUUAUUUGCCAGGAACAAAAAUCGUGUUACACAGUUGGACAAAAGUGUGGG